rnacentral:tRNA from 1 species
UGGAAGAUAGUGUAAGAAGCACUAGAGCCUUUGAAGCUCUCAGAAAAGGUUUAAUCCCUUUCCCUCCAA